rnacentral:rRNA from 1 species
GACGAACGCUGGCGGCGUGCUUAACACAUGCAAGUCGAACGGAAAGGCCCUGCUUUUGUGGGGUGCUCGAGUGGCGAACGGGUGAGUAACACGUGAGUAACCUGCCCUUGACUUUGGGAUAACUUCAGGAAACUGGGGCUAAUACCGGAUAGGAGCUCCUGCUGCAUGGUGGGGGUUGGAAAGUUUCGGCGGUUGGGGAUGGACUCGCGGCUUACCAGCUUGUUGGUGGGGUAGUGGCUUACCAGGGCUUUGACGGGUAGCCGGCCUGAGAGGGUGACCGGCCACAUUGGGACUGAGAUACGGCCCAGACUCCUACGGGAGGCAGCAGUGGGGAAUAUUGCACAAUGGGCGGAAGCCUGAUGCAGCAACGCCGCGUGCGGGAUGACGGCCUUCGGGUUGUAAACCGCUUUCGCCUGUGACGAAGCGUGAGUGACGGUAAUGGGUAAAGAAGCACCGGCUAACUACGUG